rnacentral:rRNA from 1 species
GAUGAACGCCCGCUACAGGCUUAACACAUGCAAGUCGCGGGGCAGCAUGGGGGUUGCUUGCAAUCCCCGAUGGCGACCGGCGCACGGGUGAGUAACGCGUAUCCAACCUGCCCUUCACCACGGGAUAACCCGGCGAAAGUCGGACUAAUACCGUAUGUUGUCCAUUGACGGCAUCCGAUUUGGACGAAAGGUUUGGCGGUGAAGGAUGGGGAUGCGUCCGAUUAGCUGGACGGCGGGGUGACGGCCCACCGUGGCGACGAUCGGUAGGGGUUCUGAGAGGAAGGUCCCCCACACUGGAACUGAGACACGGUCCAGACUCCUACGGGAGGCAGCAGUGAGGAAUAUUGGUCAAUGGGCGUAAGCCUGAACCAGCCAAGUAGCGUGCAGGAGGACGGCCCUAUGGGUGGUAAACUGCUUUUAUGCGGGGAUAAAGUGGCCCACGUGUGGGUUUUUGCAGGUACCGCAUGAAUAAGGACCGGCUAAUUCCGUG